GCAAAUUCCGGGACGUGCGCGGGGGUAAUACGGAAGGGAGAAACGUUGUUCUGAUUGACUGUGCUUAAAGCGACCGCAGGCGGUUUAUUAAGUCAGAUGUGAAAGCCCCGUGCUCAACAUGGGAACUGCAUUUGAAACUGGUAAACUAGAGUUCGAGAGAGGAAAAUGGAAUUCCAAGUGUAGAGGUGAAAUUCGUAGAUAUUUGGAGGAACAUCAGAGGCGAAGGCGAUUUUCUGGCUCGAUACUGACGCUCAGGGUCGAAAGCGUGGGGAGCAAACAGGAUUAGAUACCCUGGUAGUC
rnacentral:rRNA from 1 species